AUUUUCCUUCAUAUUGCAGAACCCAUAGACUCCUCUGCGGCGCUACUCAUUCUGACUUCUCCAACUACGACAGAGAGGACGUCUACUGCAACGGAAUGCACGUUGUUGAAAUAUUCGACCUUUCAUUUAUGUGACAUUCCUUCGAUUUUCGUUGAUUCGUAGACGUCACAACAGAUCUUCUCCAACUAGAUCUGCAAAAAUUCAGCUUACAAUGAGAGGAAAGAAUCAUGGAGUCUGUCACAGCUGUAAACUAAAAGUGCAUUCUUUUGCGGAAUGCUUGAAUAAACGCCCCUGCCCAUGGUGUAAACAUGCUUUUCUGAAGUGCAUUGAGGUGGAGAAGAACACUAAGAACAAAGGUAGACCAUUCAAUACGUGCAGCGUGAAAUGUGAUUUUUUGGAGUAGGUUAGUGAGGAGGAAACGAGUGGUGAAUCAACAUCUGUUACUAGUACUCAAGUUUUGUCUUGCAUGUUCGAAGCUCGAUGUCGGUAAACUGAUGAACAAGACACGGAGAUUUCCAUGAAUGUAACUGUACGCAAAGAAAGAGCACGUAACUAAAGGAGAUAAGAUUGGAAAUGGGCCAGCUUGAGUUGUAGUUUCCUUUAAAUGAAGUUGUAAUUUCAGUUGUGUAAAUAUAUGUUUCCUUGAAAUGAAUGUUAUCUUUAAUGCUAGUGAACUUUUGAAUCUAA